UGCUAUUAUAAUUAAUGCAUAACUUUGAUUUAACAUUAUAUAAGGAAAUAUAUUGUAAUCACGAUGAAAGGAAAGAAGAAUUGUUUCAGGUAAAUUUUCUUUGCAUUAAUUUUUGAUAAUCGAUAAUUAUUUCUCCAUAAAUGUGAAUGAGGGAAAGAGUUUUCCUUCAAAAGAUGUGAACUUGAUUGUAAGAAGGAAAAGGUCUUUAUCAAACUGAAGAAUAUAUCGUUUUCUUACUUUCUUGUUUCCUAAGACCUCGGUAAUCGGACCAUCUCUAGCACACGAAUGUGUCGUAUGGCUACCAUCAUCAACUUACAGUCACCAAAUACUUAAAACAUGGCAAUAUAAAACGGCUAAAGUCAUUUUUAAUACUAAGAUGAAUAUCCAAAAUCUGCUGCUUUCUUAGACUUGGAAUGGGAGCCAACAAACAAUUUUCUUUAUAAACAAAGGGUAUCAAAUUUUGCUAGGAUUUAAGGCCUACCCCCAAGUAAAUUAUGUCCAAUCGUAUUUGCAGAGUUAAAGUCACUUACGCUUCAAAGUAGAUUGGAUUAACCACACUAUAUGAUAAAUUUAUUUUAAAUGGUAGAUGUGGAUAACUUUUACAAUUCCAAUAUAUAUUUAAACAGCUCCUUUGAAGGUGUGUUUGUACAAGGGAUUUUCUUCUAGUUGUGGCCUGUUAUCUUUUUCUUGCAUCGAUAGAUAUUUCCAGUAUCACGCUUUCUAAUCAGGUGAUCUGAAUAUUCUUCUAUAUGGAACACUUUACUGAUAUGAAUAAAUACAUAUUAAGUCCUACCUUUCCAGGUCAUAGAGUUUUUGUCAAACGAUAAGAUUCAAUUACUGAUACUGGUGAUUAUUCAUUCAUAUAUCAGUAAAAAGAAAAUGAACAGUUUUCGUAAAAAAUGUUGAACGACAUGUACUCUCGCAGACCAUUGUUGUACAUAAUGGUGUUAAUUCUUUUAAGUAAGCUGUCUUAUUUUAUUAUAAUAUAUUAUUUUUUUAACUCUGAUAAUGACAUAAGAAUAUCUGUUACUUCUUUGUAUAUAUUCAUUGUAUAUAGUGUUAGACACAUUUGUGGAUACCCCGUUCGCAAGUUUUAAAGUUGUAUAUAAGUGGCAUGUUUUUAUAACACUGCUAUACAUCCUUGACAAAUGACAUGAUUUGUAUUGACUUAAUGCAUGUCUAGCUUGUUUAAUGACACACCUACACUUUUAUACUUAAGUUAUGUAAUCAAUUAGGAAAAAAUAUAUAAAUAUUCUGUGGUAAAUAGUGGUUGACAAACAUCUUAAUUCACAUAUUUUGUUCCUAUAUAAUUAUGUUUAAAACAAAAAAGUGAAAUGAAAAUGAUUAUUUAACUUAAAAACUUGAAAGAACAACGGACUAAAAAAAAUGAGUCCAUGAAACCCGGAAGAAAGCAAUUGAGCUGGUAAAAAAUAAAGAAUAACUCAACUAAUCAUAAAAAAUAACUACAAUAUUUUUAUUUUAUCAGUUGACAUUGUACGUGUAAAUAAAAUAAAACGUUAACAAUAAAUCAAUACCCUUGCUAGGAACGUCGCUAGGCAUAUAUUUUAUGAAGGGUAGAGGGAACCUAUAUUUUAUCGAGUAUAAUUUAGAUUAACGAUAGUAGUUAGAGCCGAUUCCAUCGAGUGUGUAGGCAGUCCUUGGUUAGCUUGCUUGCUAACUGAACCGUGAAGUCAUUAUUAGGUUAGAUAAACUACCCUCCUUUAAGAGUAGACUAGUCCGACAGAUAACCAAUAUAUCUGUCUGUAAGACUAGGCUACUUCGACAGGUGGGUAGUAUACUUUACCUAAUAAUAACUUCACGGUUCAGCUAACAAGCAAGCUAACCAAAGAUAUAACUUUGCCUACACACUCAAUGGAAUCGACUGUAAAUAGCUUGCCGUAAUCAAUUUUAUGAAAUACUUUUUAUACCAUAUAGGUACUCUUGUGAUGCAAUACAAUGCUUUGUACAAGACCGACACACUGAGUUGGAUUUCUAAUGUGCUUGUUCACAAGGCAACAGUACGCAGGAAGACAUAUAAUCUUGCUCGGACACGUUAUUCUGAUUACGGUCUUUUAAAACACUUAAGACGUAAUUGACUAUUAAAUAACUACUAGCCUACCUAUGCAUAUAAAAAAAGAAGAUGUGGUAUAAUUGCCAAUGAGAAAACUCUUCACAAGAGACCAAAGUGACACAGAAAUUAACAACUAUAGGUCACCGUACAUGUCUUUAAAACUGAAAAUAAUUAAAAAUAACUACAGGCCAACCUAUAGUCUAUAGAAUAUAAUUUAGUAAAUAUAAGAUUUUUACCCUAGUACAAUUCAGAUACAUGGGAAAUUUUAGAAGGGACCAUUAAUCUUUUAAAAAAGAAACAUUUAAGGCACAAAGAUACGAGAUUAUUCAGUCUGAUGUCUUUUCAUAAAGUAAACAUAUUUGGCUCAUAUGAUAAACUAUGGCCAUUAACACCUGACUUGGGACAGGCAAAUAGGAAUUUUAACACAAAGAUACGAGAUUAUUCAGUCCGAUGUCAAAUCGUACAGCUUAGACAUACUUUUGCUCAUUCGAUAAAGUAUGCACAUUUGUACAUCUGAACUCUUACGUGUAAUUAGAUGAUCGAUUAAUUGACAUUCUUUUCCAUAUAUAAUUGUAAAUUGUCAUUUUCGUUUGAUAAAUGCAUUUUCCGCAAAUUAGUUUCAAAUGAGAAUGUGUUCUUGACAAUUUCUCUAUUCUUAUCAGCGUUAACAUAUGUUAAGUAUAAGAAGAAUUAAAAAAAAAAGAAUGAAUAAGGAACAAAUAUGUGAAUUAUUUCAGAAAAGGCCUUCAACAAUGAGUAAAACUAAUAAAAUUGUAAAAAUCUUUCAAAAUGUCCAAGAUGAAAAAAAAUUAGAAAAAAAAUCCAACAACUUGUAAAUUACAAAAACAAAAACAAAACAAAAAACAAACAAGAAAGCAAACACUUAAUAAUGGAAAUCAACAUUCAGUUCGAUAACAAGGAUUGGGACAGACAGGUAUGAAUAUAGCGAGGACAAACAAAAGACAGUACUGGUAUUAACACUGAUGCUUAGCUUUCCUAACUUGAGGAAUGAUAAUUAUUUGUUAAUAUCAGACUAUUUUAGUAUUUUUCCGAAUAGUAUGUCUAAAUACAAAUUAAGUUCAAGGUUAUUUUCGGUCUUUAAAGAGGAUUGUACGCAAAGUUCAAGCUGUUUAUUGAAAGGUUUUAUAUAGCAAAAAAGAGAAUCACAUUUUAAUGCCGACCGAAAUGGAACUAAAAAUAUUACUUGAUCGAUUUUUGGUGUUUUAACGCCACUUUUAAGCACCGCAUUUAGACUAUUUCGUGGCGGCCAGUUUUUAUUGGAGGAGGAAGCCGGAGUUCUCGGAGGAAACCACCGACCUUCGAUAUGAAAACUGACAAUCCUAGUCAAUUAAGAUUGGAGUCGAGUGCACCCACACGAACGGGGUUCGAACUCACAACCUCAGUGUUGACUAUCGAGUGAUUACAGUAGUAACUACUUUUCUUGAUAAAUUUUUAUUCAAACAGUACAUUGAAAAUUCACUAGACAGUACCUGGUGUCACACACAGACAUUUACAUAUCAACUAUUUUAGUUAAAAAUUAAUACAAUAUUUCUGCAUGGUUAUCUGUAACUUUGAUAACAGGAUUGUCCGAUAUAAAAUAUUUUUCUAAUAAGAACUGUUCUUUUUUCUGAUUUAAAAGAUAAAAAUAGUGAGAGAUGUAUAAUCCUAUCAAUGUUUUAAAACAGUCUACUAUAUUGAGUUUAACUUGAGGAUUCAACAAUACGAAUUUCAAAAUCAAGCGUAUUUACAAAGGUAUCAUCAACAUUACACAUUUAGUAUUUAGUAAAAAAUCCUUCAGAAAAUCAGUGAAUUGUGACAAAUUGACACAAUUAAUAAACAUAUCACUCAUAUGUUCUAAAUCAACUCUAGAUUGUGCACACACUGGACAAGUGUCAUUAUCAGACAUGUAACAUUUUAAAAGUUUAACUUUAGUAUCUAUUUAGAACACUUGGCCAUCGAGGUCCCCUCCGGAACUAAAAAUAGACUAGAUAGUAAUUUCCGAUAUUUCCAAGUACACCGAAUGCCUAAAAAAAGCCCUUUAUCAUAUGGGUUUCUUAACGUGCAAAAAAGGGGACAAGAAAAAGACAGAUCGGCAUAGAACGUGUUUUACGCAUGAACGAAGUGGUAAAAUUACAUGAAAAUAAAUGCUUAACUUAUGAAUAUUUCAAGGGUUGUAAAGUCCUUUUCCACAUACUGACAUGAAGUAGAUAAGAUCAGUAUCGGGGUCUUCUGCAAAUACCAGAAAUUUGAAGCCUGUGUAUGUUUAUAUAACAGACGUUUUGCACGUAUCUAUAUCCCACAAAAAUAUAUAAUCACUUAAUUUUAUUCCUUUUGUACACGUUUAAUUUAAUUUAACUUUUAACGGACAGAAUAAAGAAGGCGUUUCUCAAACCACACCUCUUUUGGGGAGAUAUAUGAUAUUCUUAGAUAAUUUCAUUUGUUUUGUUGACACACUGGUUCCCAUAUAAUAAAAUAUGUUCUAAUAGAGACAUAACUUGGAACUGUUACCAGUAUAAAAACAUACUAUUACGGUGAAAAAUGAAUUCCGAAGUAGGCAAAAAGUAAAGUUUGGGGUAGUACACAAUUUUAGUAUAAGUUAAAACACUUACAAGUUCAGGGCAUAAAUGUUGAAAAUAUGCCGCACAGCCUCAUGUUUUGAACUUUGAAUAAAAUAGUAGCGCAUAUCAAAUUUCUAUUCUAGGAUAUAUUUUUUCACGAAACUUCAGAGUAAAAUUGUCCCAGUUUUAGCCCCAAAGGGAGUUCCUAUGGAAAUUUCAUGGUCUUUAUUUACAGAAAUGCAACCUAUAGACAUACAUAUUUUCUCCAUUAGUUAUGUAUUUUGGUAUCGGUAUACCAGUUUCCAAUCCAUAGAUCUCAGUUGUCGACUUUUACACGAAAUCAAUGAUUUGACGUCCUUGCUUUGUCCUUUCUGAUGUUUAACGUGUUUGCAUACGACCUUCUGAUGAAAAGGUAUAUAAAUCUAGACAUUGCAUUGAGGUUUUAGCCUGCAGGAAGGGUAGUGUACAAUCUAGUAAACUAAGAAAUUAGAUAAGCCAGUCACUGCACUAUUUUACAUUUAACAAGAUAAAUCACCCUUGGUAAGACAGAAAAAAAUCGUUAUAAUAAGUUGUAACAAGUAUUUACAAUACAAAAUGAAUUGGUUUUCUCUAACAAUCAAUUAUAAUGAUUUAUGACGUUGUUUGUUGAAUUUUGAUUUACAGUCUAAUCAAACCAACUAUUUAAUCAACUAUUUUUAAAGACUGGCCAAACAAUUACACUGUUUGUCCUUCAAACCGGCAUCACACAUCAGCGUAUAGCUCCGACGUAUGCAGGGCGUGUUAAAAAAUUAUGUACGCUGCCAAUACGCUAGUAAUUUUGGAUGCAUUCAACCUGUCAGUCAUAUAUAUAACGUGUGUAUAACGAGCUAUAAGCGGGAAUUGGGCGUACGAGAAGCCUACUUAAGCGUUUAUUGGGCGUUAGUUUAGUUUAAACAUAUUUUAUUUGCAAAAGUAGCAAAAGGGAUUGGACACAAGUUAUAACAACAUUAGAGACGUCCUGUCCCAAGGGUUAGGGUAUUGGGCGUUCAAGAAACGUAUGGUUGCGCAUGCCUGGCGUUUGUCUAAUGUAGAUGGAAUGCACGCUACGAAGAAAAAAAAGUUUCUUGAACGUAUUUGAGACGCGUCCCGGUGUUAUAUAGCCAUUCUUCCCCCAUGCCAGUUUUUCCCCCGGAGGACAAACUGGCAUGAACCAAUUCUUCUCCUGGGGAAAUUUUGGAUCAUUGCCAUUCUUCCCCCGAAGAAAUUUGGCAAUACGUAUACAUAUUGUCACUUUUCCCCCAUGCCAAUCUUUCCCCCAUAGAAUAGAUUUCACUAUACCGGUGUUAUAUAGCCAUUCUUCCCCCAUGCCAGUUUUUCCCCCGGGGGACAAACUGGCAUGAACCAAUUCUUCCCCUGGGGAAAUUUUGGAUCAUUGCCAUUCUUCCCCCGCGGAAAUUUGGCAAUACGUAUACAUAUUGUCACUUUUUCCCCAUGCCAAUCAUUCCCCCAUAGAAUAGAUUUCACUAUACCGGUAGUAUUCAUAUCAGUCUGAAAAUCAAACCCAACAGAGUUGGAAUUAGAUUUUUAUUUCCAAAAGUACAUUUUCAUCGGUCUGUCUAUGUGUCUACUUGUCUGUCUGCAUCAUGGUUUAACAGUCUGAGUUCAUAUUCACCGGUCCGUCUAUGUCUAAUAUUAUGUCUACAGGUCCACCCGUCUGUCUCCGUGUUGACUAAUCUAUCUACAUGUUUACAAGUCAGUUUACGUUUACACCAGUACUAGUGUGUCUUCAUCUCUACUAGUCAGUGCAUGUGUCCACCAGUCUGUCUACAUGUCUACCAGUCGGUCUAUAUCUCAAUCUGUCUGUCUUCAUGUUCAUCAGUCCGUCUAUAUUUUUUUUUUGCCGUCUGUAAUUGCAUUUUUUUGGGUAUUAUUUUGUCUGAUCGUCCGAAUCUUUAAUAUGCUGACAUUUACAUGCAUUCUUUUGACCUGGCAACUUACAACUUAUUUUUGUUAUUUUUAUUUUUUACAAGGUGUAUACUCCAUACUAAUACCAUAAUCCUUUGAACUGCCAGCAAGUUUCCAUACCACAUCUUCUUAUAUCUAUUAUCAUUCUAGGGGGAGGUAGGGUGGGAGUGGGGAGGGGGUAGGAAGGGUCCUGAUUCGGAAAUCCCGGGCUUAAAAACACGAAAUCCCGCGGAAAUAAAUUUAAAUCCUGACACCCCGAAAUUCGAAAAAAGAAUUCCCGGAUCCCGAAAGGGUAAAUCCCGAAAUCCCGAGCUUAAAAACACCCGAAAUAUAUAUCAAAUGAAUAUUGAUACGAUGAAGGUUUGGUAAACUAAUAAAAAAAAGUUACUAUUCUUUUUUUUUGGAUAAAUAUUUAUAAAAUAACAUUAUAUUUCAAGGGGGAAAAUUUAGCUUCUCGUCCUAUAAGGGGGGAAAAUUGUCCUGAUCCUGGUUUUCCCCCAAUCUCACUAAGGGGGAAAAGUUGGAUCAUGCCAAUUUUUCCGGGGGGAAAAAUUGGAUCGAUCCAGUUUUUCCCUCCGGAAAAAAUGGCAUGGGGGAAGAAUGGCUAUAGGACACCGGUCGUAUCUUAGACGUUCUAUUUAUAUGGGGUGUUUGUUACACCCGCAUACGUUUUAGUUAAAGUCGAACGAUCUCGUAGCGUAUGUAUAACGUGCGUGUAGCGUACAGGUAUACGUUAGACACACGCUUGAGCAGGCUGAAAAUGUUUAAGCUGCAUAAAAAAUUUCUCGAAUUGUAGCGUUCACCAAGCGUAUACCUUUGUAUUUCGACGUACUUCAAACUUAUGCAACGCGCGUUUAACGAUUGCUUAGCGUUCCUCAGGUGUGCAACUAACGUAUACUGACUUUGUCAAUUUUCCCUGUACGUUUGGUGCACGCCUGUCUAUACGCCAAUGUGUGACGCCGAUAUGAGGUUGACUGUAAUAUGACCGUAGGUAUUGAUUUACCCUUUUUUGUUUUUAUGGUUCUACAUUGAGCAUCGUUUAUGUAUUCGGUCGACUACUGAAAACUACUAUCUAUUUUUUUUUAUGAAAAUUACCCGAAUCUCUGAUAUCAACAUAGCAAAAUAUUGCUUGCCAACAUUGCAUACUAAAUACUGAGCUGUAAUAUAAUGUAAUUAUUACAUAAUAUGCUUAACCCUUCAUCGAUGAUUUAUCUGUAAUCAAGUACACUAAGUUGAUCGAUCAUCUUAAUGCAAAGAAUUCAAAUCGAACGUACUUUUGUUUAAGGAAAUUUUACACAGCACUGAUUUACAAGCAGAUCAUAUCUCCAAUAUAACAAUACACAAGUUGAUUUGAAUAAUUAAAAAUUAAAAAGCAUAUGUUAAGGAAGUUUCUUAAAAGUAUGCAAAUUUGUUACAAAUGUAAAAUUUUAAAAUAAUAUAUCAUAGAAUACAUGAUAGUGACAACUGAUAACUUUCAUGCAUAUUAUACUAUAUAUACAGGACAUACCAGAUAAUAAUUCGAAUCAAACAUUGAAGCACGAAUAAGUAACAUUUAUGAUAUAUUGUAGGUUAGGAUGAGUGACUAAAUUAUAUACUGAUGGGACUAAAACAAAGCAGCAAUAGAACGAACUUCUAGUCAUUGUACUGUUACCAAGUAGCAAUUAAAUGAUCUACAGUGAUGUGGCCAAACAAAGUAUAAUUUAUAGUGACUGUGAACAUGAUUUCUGUGAACAUAAGCGAUGCCCGAACACUGGAAUACAAAAACAACUUAACUUGUGAAAUAUCCGUCGAUAGUGUUUACUUAUUUAUUAUCAUAGGAAUUGAAUCCUUUCUGUUGCUUUUAUCGUUAUCUUUUUCAAUCGGAAUAUGCUGCAAACAAUGCAACAGAAAAAAGACUUCAUCGUUUGAUCCGCCAUUACCGAACCGAAUUAGCCAAUAUUCUUCCGCAGACACGUUGCCAAGACUUGUAGUGUAUGAAAGUCUUGGAGGACAAGAACAACAUGUAGAACAGGACAAUGUUUACGAAACAUUUAACUGUGAUCCUGUUUAUGCCAAUGAACAGAAGUUUAGGAAAAAUAUAGUUUUUUCUAUUUAUGCAAAUCAAGUGACAUUGACAGACAUGCUACAAGGAGACGAAGAUGCUUAACUUUUAUUACAGACAUGCUACAAGGAGACGAAGAUGCUUAACUUUUAUUACAGACAUGCUACAAGGAGACGAAGAUGCUUAACUUUUAUUACAGACAUGCUACAAGGAGACGAAGAUGCUUAACUUUUAUUACAGAUACAUGUAUAUCAUGACAGACAUGCUACAAGGAGACGAAGAUGCUUAACUUUUAUUACAGAUACAUGUAUAUCAGUUUACUAUACACCAUUUUCAUAUUACCGUCUUUUGACUCCGGAAAUUAUAUUUUGUUGACAGGGUACCUUUAAAAAUUUAUACAUACAAACCAUUGAAAUUUCACCCUACCACACCUUCAAUAUAGUUGGAAAUCCUGGUACUCGGUCAAACAAGAGCAACAGAAAUAAGUUAAUUCAAGAUUUUAAUCGGUACAAUUUGAGAGAAAUUUAACAGUUUAAUGCUUUCUUUAAAUGACUUAAUUAUCAGAAAACAUUAAACUUUCCCACCAAAUUGCACCGUAUAUGUAUUUGAUUUUACUUCUUUGGUUGCUCGUGAUUGGCUCAUGAUUACCAGGAUGUCUUAUCACAGAGUAAAUAAAAAAUUAUAGAACCCGGAGUAAAAAGUCGAUAAUAUGAAAAUAGACUAUUGAACGUAAUAAUUACACAAUGUUGUUUUAUAAUCAAUGUUACUUUGUAACAUUGUGUUAGAAGUUAUUAAUUAUUAACCAAUACGACUUUGUAGAUUUAAAUAGAAGUUAUUAUCACACAAUGAUGUAUUAUUAACCAAUACGACUUUGUAGAUUUUAAAUAGAA
rnacentral:lncRNA from 1 species